CCCAAACGAAAACCUGAUUGAUUUCUGUUGUCGACUCCAUUUUGAGGAUCGAGUACUGACCAUAAUGGCCUAGUCUUACUUCUUUCCACUUGACCGGUUGACCCCUUUUCUUGUCGGCGAAAGGCCAUGGAAAUUAACCGCUAAAAUCUUUCCUCUCCUUUUCCCUCCAUUUUCCAGUCAUUUAAAUGGACCGCCAACUCCUCAGAAGCUAAUCAGUAACCGCUUAUAAGCGGCUGCUAUGGAGCUUGACGACUUCUCGUGUUAUUUGUUGUUUGCUAAUGUCUGGUGAUUUUUGUUCGAGAAAGUUCAUCACAAAAUGCUGUUUUGUUUGCCAGACCUGCACGCCAAAUGCAAGAGAGGCUUCCCUUGUAUUUUGAUCUGAAGUUCCCUGAUAUUAUGGAAGAGAAACAAUGAGGUUCUUUCUUCCCUUUCCUUAUAUUUAGCUAGUCAGUGUUGACUGAAGGUGAAGUCGAUAAAUUUUAUAUUGUUCUGUAUUUGUUCUUAAAAGUUGACUUCAGUACAUAUUCCUCUAAUAAAGAUAAUAAUAUAGGGAACCAAAAGGAAAAGGAAAAGAAAUUGGGGCAUUUUGAGAAUUGAACUCGAGACCUCUCACACCCAAAGCAAGAAUCAUACCACUAGACCAAAUGCCCAUUUUUUUCGCUUUCUACAUGUCUAGCAUACAAUUAUUAGAUUUUCUCUCCUAGAACUCAAGGUUUGAUUUUCCAACCUCUCAUUUCUGAUGUGGUUCAAUGUAUCAUUCCCCUAGAGGCCAAAACAUUUAUCAUAACAUGUUAUGAAUCUCCAAAAUUUUAUAAAUUCCCUGUAACCAUGAAGAGUUUGACUGCUGAAUCAGUAAAUUGCUAGUUAAUUUACAUGGGCACCAGAAUUGUUUGAUUUAUACUUCUAAUUAAUUUAAAAAUUAAAUUACUGAACAACUGGGCAGCUAAAAGUCUGUAGAUCUUAAUUUAGCUGGUAAAGUGGUUUGGUUAUUGAACAAGGAUGUAGGUCUGAAAGCGUAAGGAAAAAAAGAAAGAAAUAAAAGCAGUCUUGGCAGAUGGAGAAUAUGGAAACGCAGUCAAAAUACUGACUUUAGCUCUCUGUUUUUUUCUGUGUCUGCAGUAAAACAUUUAUUCUGUUUAUUUGUUAGUAAUUUUUUUAUUAUUUUCUGGAUGGGUAUAAGAUUAAGUGAAAAACAAUACACUGUAUUUAUUUUUUACUCGCUGUAAAAGAAAAUAAGGAAAAAUGACAGGGGCAUUCCGAGAAUUGAAUUCAGGACCUCUUGCACUGUUAAAAACCCCUAUCACUGAAGUGGGCCAAAAAACAACCCAAAAAGACAUAAACCCAAUUAUUAUUUCUCCUAGUCUGAUACCAUGUUAAUGUGACAACUUUCUCAUUUAUUUCAUCUAUCAACUAUUUGUUUAUAUACAUCAACAAGAACUAACAAUGUAACUGCCUAACUAACUAACUGCACUACCCUACUCCUCAAUGUGCACCCUAAGUGAGAAUCAUUCCAUUAGACCAAAUUCCUAGCUUUGAUGUUGAUUUUCCUAUUAUUAUUAUUAUAUAAUCCAUAGGUGGUAUGUUUUCAAGAAAUGAUGCAUUUGUUAAUGAAAUCUCUGAUCAGAAAUGGAUUGUUUGUGAGCUUUUUUCUGCUUGUGGAAUACAUAGUAAAUUGCUUCAUAAUUGUUUAUAGUGAUGCAUGGAGGAGAAUUAUCAGUUUUUUCAGGAAUUGUUCACAAAAUUACAUGUCCUAAUAGCCCUUUUCUCUGCAAGGUUCUCAAGGAUAAAUACUUAUAGUCUUGCAAGGGAUGCUAACUUCUUUGGCUGUCAGCUGUAAAGCCUUUGUGUAAAUUGGAUGAACUAGGCUUGAAUCCCGUUUUGACCUUUUGUUGAAGGGUUAUCGGUGCAAGGGAAGGGACUAAAUGGAGGAGGCCUGUUCUCCUUUCUGUUUGCCUUUUGUGUUGUCUUUUUAGCUGAAUUGAUUGUUGUUGAUUUGACUGUUUUCUGCCUUUAUUUUGCAGGUUUAUGUCAGAUUUCCAUUUUGUAGGACCAAUAUUUAAAGCCUAUUAACUUUGCAAUUUGAUGGGUUCUUUGACAGAAAGUACAUCACAAAAUGUUGUUUUGUUUGCCGGACCUGCACGCCAAAUACUAGAGAGGCUUCCCUUGUAUUUUAACCUGCUGCUCCCCAGAUGCGCUUUAAUUCCUUCCUUUUUUUUGGCGAGGUUAUUGCAGAUCUGAAGUUUCCUGAUAUGGCAGAGAAGCAAUGAGGUUAUGACAGAUCUAUUGUUUCCUGGGGCUUCAAAGAUAACGCUGCAUUUCAUUUCCCAAUGACCAUUAUUAUUCCAGAUGCAUAGAGGAGGAUUAUCAGAUUUUGCAGGAAUUGUUCAAAAAACUACAUGUCCUAAUAACCUUUGCUCACACCCUAAGCAAUGAUCAUACCACUGGACCAGAACUAAAUUGUUUGAACUUUCUUCUUGUGUAAACUUUUAAAGGUAUAGAAGGUAGUGAAGAAAAAGCAGUUGUGCAUUCUGAGAAUUGAAUCAGGACCACACUCGCCCAACGUUAGGAAACUGCGACUGGAACAAAUACUCAUCCAUUGUCUUUAAUUUAUUGUUAUUACAUUUGCAGGUAGAAGUUUUCAAUAAAUGGUGCAUACCACUAGACGAAAUGCCUAUUUUUAUAUUUAUCAUGUCUAGUAUAUAGUUAUUAGAUCUUUUCUCUUAUAACUCCUAUUAACUUUCAAUGGCCACAUUCUUGGAAAAACUAAAUUUUCCAAUCUCUCAUUUUUUAUGUGGUUUAAUAUCAUUUGCGUACUAUAUUUGGAUGCUAAGGGCAUUAUAAAUCAUAUUUCCACCAGGUUACAGCUUCUAUCUGCAUUUUAAUAACUAUAUACUGUUAUCAGUUCAGAAUAUGUUAAGAAUCUCCCAAAUUUUAUAAAUUUUAUGUAACCAU